GCCGGGGGGAGGCGGAGGGUGAGCGGAGUGGCAUCGUGAUGGCGGUGGUCGGGAGGAUUUAAGUAAACGGCGGCGGAGCAACACGACACUUAUUCAGGCUUGUCCCUGGCCGAUUUGGGGCCCCUAUUGUUCAAGCCGGUGAGGGCUGCAGGCGGGCCCGCCGCGUGGGGCUGUAAGGAGCCGGCGGACCAGGCCCUGUGGCGGCCGCAGAAGCAGCCUCCGACCCUAGGUUGCAGCACAGACCUCCGUGGGGCGUAGCGCCGUCUCGGACCAGGGCAGCCCUAGGGAGGCCGGGCCGGGCGCACACACGCAGGUAAUUUGGGAAAAAUCUUCAGUAGUUGCAUUGAACAGUUAACAAGUCACCUGGAAAACAGAGUACCAAGAAGUAUAUUCUUGACAUCUGCCUUCUAACCUAACCUGAGUGGACUUCUAUUUAUCUUUUAAACUUCUUAAUAUUUACAAUGAAUGGACACAGUGAUGAAGACGUUGUAAGAAACAGUAGUGGACAGUCAAGCCAAUCAGAUGAUGAUUCUGGGUCGGCAUCAGCUUCUGGAUCUGGUUCAAGCUCUGGAAGCAGUAGUGAUGGAAGUAGCAGUCAUUCAGGUAGCAGUGACUCUGAGUCUGGUUCAGAGUCAGGCAGUCAAUCAGAAUCAGAGUCUGACACACCUAGAGAGAAGAAACAAGUUCAAGCUAAACCACCAGCAAAAGCUGAUGGAUCUGAGGUGACGGAGCAGUGGAACAGGCUGCCCAAGGAGGUUUUGGAGUCGCCUUCUCUGGAGGUCUUCAAGACCCGCCUGGACGCGUUCCCACGCGACCUGAUCUCGGUGAACGUGCUUCUGCAGGAGGCUUGGACUAGAUGAUCUCUAAAGGUCCCUUCCAACCCCCUACCGUUCUAUGAUUCUAUGAUAACAAAAGGUUCGCAAGGCAAAUUAAGGACAGGGAGAUCACUCAGCAAUUUCCAUCAUGGGCAAAACGGACUUGGGGAGAAAUGAUUGGAUUUAUUAACAAAUAACCAAAUCAGAGUAGGGAAAUGAGAAAUAAAAACUGAAUCUGAAAACAUCUCCCCCCACCUCUCCCUUCUUCCCAAGUUUCUACCUCCUAUCCCCCAGCAGCAGUGCAGGUAGACGAGGAAUGAGAGUUACAGUCAGUUCAUCAUAGAUGGACUUUGUCGCUGCUGCUUCUCAGGGAGAGGCCUCCUCACACUUCCCACUGCUACAGUGUGGGGUCCCUCCCAUGGGCAGUAGUCCUCCACGAAUUUCUCCAACAUGGAUCCUUCUGAUAGGGUGCAAUUCUUCACAGACUGCCUCAAUGUGGGUCAUCCACGGGAAAAAUAGUCAUUCAGGAAGAGACUGCUCCAGCAUGGAUCCCCCACGGGGUCACAAGACCUGCCAGCACACCUAGUCCGACAUGGGCUCCUCUCUCCACAGAUUCCCAUGUCCUGCCAGGAACUUGCUCCAGGGUGAGCUUCCCACAGACUCACAGACUCCUUUGGCCAUUCACCUAUUCCAGCGUAGGGUCCUCUGCCUGACUACGGGUCAAUUUCUGCUCCGCCGUGGGCUGAAGUGGCACAGCCUGCCUCACCAUGGUCUUCACCACAGUUCACAGGGGAAUCUCUUCCAGUGCCUGGGCACCUCCUCCCCCUCCUUCUCCACUGCCCUUGGUGUCUGCGUGAUGUUUUCACAUUCUCACUCCCUGUUGCUGCUUCAAUUUAGCAUCUGCAGCAACUUGUUAAAAUUUCUUAUCAACUGUGAAUCUUACUGACAUGAUUUUUGCUUAUUUAUUUAAAUGUAGGAUUUAGGCAACCUCGGUGGCAUUUUUUCACAAGGACUUGUCUGGCAUGUAUUUACUUGUGUCUCAAGGUUUCUCCUUGUUGAAUUUUCUUCUUUCAUGUACCAAAUUCCAUAGUCCCUGUGAUAUUUACCUAUGGCUCUAUGCUAUGUUGAGAAAUGCUAUGGUUUUAUAACGCUCUAAUUUACCCAACUCUAAAGGUAAGAUAAUAGUUGAGUACAUUAAUAUCAUUGUAUUUAAAUUUCUUUGGUGAAUCAUGGUGGAUGUUGCCCUUAAUUUCUGGUACAUAGCUUAAACUCCAGUCAUAUUCUACAGUGUGUGCCUUGCUUUUAUUUUUCAACUCCGGUUAAUAUUUUAGUGUUAUAGCAUCACGCCUAAAGUAGGCCCUUGAUUACAAGAAUGGGAAGUUUCGAAGCAGCCUUAUUGCUCCCUAGUUUUCUCCUCAAUAACUGUAAGUAAACUCAGCAGUCCUAUUUCUUGGUAUCACCCACUUCAAAAUAAGGAAGCGUUUUCAUGGUUUCCUUCUUUCAAAGUCAACAGAUGCAGAUAGUUGGUUGAGUGCUCUCUACAGGAAUCAGAUCGUGAAUAGCUUUAUUUAUUUUUCUUUCCUCACUAGUACAAUUUAAUUAGUGUUAGCAACAGAGAGAGUAAUGGUUCUAUCCUGCGGCUUUAAAUGUUGUCAAUUAGGUGUGUUCCAGUACAGAAGAUUUAUCAACCUACCACCAUCUGGCUGACAGCCAGAUGAAUUGUGCUGGCAGUGAUAGGAUUAGACUUUGAUAGCAGCCUUUGGGUCUUUGUUGCUUUGGAUUUUGUUAUUAUUUUUACUGGGGAUUAUCUUAAGACCCUUAGGGUACUCAAACUGGAGCAGUUGUUACCCUUUGACAAUGAGGGGGAAGGGAGGAGAGUCCUGGGAAGAGGGAGGGGUGGGGGGAGAUGUUUUAAGAUUCAGUUUUAUUUCUCAUCUCCCUUCUUUGUUUUUAUUGUUCAUUUAAUAAAUCAAACUUUUUUCUCCCCAAGCUGAGUCUGUUUUGUCCGUGACACUCAUUGAUGACUGAUCUCCCUGUCCCUGACUCACAAACCUCUCAUUAUAUUUUUUUCUCCCCUGUCCAAUUUAGGAAGGGUGUUAUAGAAGGUAUAAAAAUAAUAAUUAAAAAAAACCUAUUUGAUAAAAUUAAGUAAAAUUCAUAAAUAAGUUAGCAUAACUAAGCAAAAUUAGGACUCCUUGGUGCUCCCAAAAAGAAGAACAUGCGUGAGAAAUCAGGCACAAUGAAAAUAAGAGUGAUAAUGAGGGGGAUUAUUUAAAUCCAUGCAUUUUCAAGCCAUAAAACAUCUAAGAACAAUGUGGGGAGCGAUUGCUUCAGAGGAAGAAAGUUCACUGCCUUAACCAUGUGGUGGUUUAGCCUUAGCUGACCAAUAACUAAACCAUCCAGUUACUCACUCCUUCCCAACUCAGCAGGCUGGGGAGGAGAAUCAAGAGAAUUCUAGAACUCUGUGAAUUGAGAUAAGGACAAUUUAAUAGAACACCACAAAGAGUAGGCAGUUACAAUGAUAGCCAAAGGACACAGAAAAAUGAGCAAUGCCCAGUGUAACUACUCAAUACCCACUCAACACAACCACAGUUCCCACACUAGCCACAUCACCACUAUGACUGGGUUGCUGGCCUUAUAUCCUGAGCGUGAGGUCACAUGGGAUUGAAUAGCCUGGCCACACCCCCUGGCAGCAGCUGGAGAGAGUUAACCCUAUCCUGGCCAAACCCAGGACAAACCAUUAGGCUGUUUGCUGUCCUGAACCCCUGUAACUUUCUGGUCUUGAGCGCCAUAUAAUUAGUACCAUUCUGGCCCAGAGCACCUAAUAAUCCAUAGCUUAAAUCAGUUAGUUGGCCAAGUGAUUUUGAAAUAUAUAUGAAUAUGUAUAACGUGUGUAAUAAGGGACCAAUUGAUUAGAGUGAUGUAAUGUGCAAAAGUAACAAAUGACCAAUCAAGGUAAAGGGUAAAUUUAGUGAACAAUUCUAAGCAGACUUUUAUGCAUAAUAAUAAAGAACAAAAGAAUGUUGGGUAUAAAUAUUUGUAAAUUCUAAUGCCUCAUUGGACAUUCUUUGGGAAUGAUCCUGUGUCCCUGAUGCACCGUCAAAUAAAGAAGUAAUAGAAGGACUCGGUGGGCAUCUGGCACCCAGCCAGGGCUAAACCAUCACACCACCACACCUGGAGAUUGCUGAACACCUGCCUGCCAAUGGGAAGUAAUGAUUGAAUUCCUUGUUUUGCUUUACUUGUGCGCACAGCUUUUACUUUAUCUAUUAAACCAUAUUUAUCUCAA